UACGUAGGGUGCGAGCGUUAAUCGGAAUUACUGGGCGUAAAGCGUGCGCAGGCGGUAAGUUAAGUCUGAUGUGAAAGCCCCGGGCUUAACCUGGGAAUGGCCAUGGAAACUGGCGAGCUGGAGUGUGGCAGAGGGGGGUGGAAUUCCGCGUGUAGCAGUGAAAUGCGUAGAGAUGCGGAGGAACACCGAUGGCGAAGGCAGCCCCCUGGGUUGACACUGACGCUCAGGCACGAAAGCGUGGGGAGCAAACAGG
rnacentral:rRNA from 1 species